rnacentral:tRNA from 1 species
CAGGAGGUAGUUUGAUAAUAAAAUGCUUGCUUUGGGGGCUAGUGAUGACAUGGACGUCUUUCUUC